AAUUGCAAUAAACUUGAUAAACUGAUAACAGAGAAAAAAUAGAUAUAGAUGAAAAUCUAGCCAAAAUGCCUUGUGUGUGGAGAUCCUAUAGAGACUGGAAUGUAACUAUGUUAGUAGCACGCUCUAUAGAUGCCGUCUUUUUGAUCAUUACCAGCGAUAUUUCUGAUUGUCUUUUUGUCAUUUCACAUUUAUCUGCAGUUGGGGUUGUUAUAGGUGCCCUCGAAGGUGGAGUGUUAGCCGGAGUGUUAGCCCUUUCCUCCCCUGUCUCUGGUUAGUCUGCAGCCAGUAUAGGCUGCUAACAUACUUGCAAUAUCUAGCACAGAACCUUAGCGUGCUACUAACAUAGUUACAUUCCAAUCUCUAUAGGAUCUCCACACACAAGGCAUUUUGGCUAUAUUUUCAUCUAUAUCUAUU